rnacentral:tRNA from 1 species
GGUAGACACGCUGCUCUUAGGAAGCAGUGCUCAAGCAUCUCGGUUCGAAUCCGAGUGGCGGCA